rnacentral:rRNA from 1 species
UACGAAGGGGGCUAGCGUUGUUCGGAAUUACUGGGCGUAAAGCGCACGUAGGCGGAUAUUUAAGUCAGGGGUGAAAUCCCGGGGCUCAACCCCGGAACUGCCUUUGAUACUGGGUAUCUAGAGUCCGGAAGAGGUGAGUGGAAUUCCGAGUGUAGAGGUGAAAAUUCGUAGAUAUUCGGAGGAACACCAGUGGCGAAGGCGGCUCACUGGUCCGGUACUGACGCUGAGGUGCGAAAGCGUGGGGAGCGAACAGG